GGGAGCCGGUCCCUCCCUGAUUAUGUGAGGGGCAGGAAGAACAGAGAGAACCAUAAAACAGUGCCCUAAGUCAGCGUGUCCCCCGAGGGCCUGCCGCCGGCCGGGCACAAUGAAAGCUUCCAGAGGAGAGACUAGAGCGUUCUUGGCCAAAGGAGACUUACAAUCCAGCCGCAGAGAGCAAACUAAGGCAGGAAACCGCCCGGAACAGUACAAGGGGCACUAAGAUAGAGCGUGGGACAACAGAGACCUGAGCAGGAGUAAAUCCCCAUGGCUUGGGCUGGGUGGUCAAGGAAGGCUGUGGGGCAGGUGUGGAUAUACAUACAUAGCUGAUGAUACCAUGCUAUAUAUAUGAGACCUUCAAAGGGCACCUAAGUUAAUACCCUAGACCUCCAUCUGAGGAUCCUCUAUCUCAGAAGCAGAAUUGAUUUUUACCUCCCAGUGAAAGUAUUUUUCCUAUUGAGCUCAAGAUUUUUCUAUGCUUCUUUUUUAUUUUUAUUUUUUGUAGGCCAGAGGGGAUCACCAGCAAACUGGAGAACAUACCUGGGAUCCUCACUAGGCUCAUAAACCUGUAAAACUGAAGAAAGUCAAGAAAAUUCCUGGUGUGCUCACACAGAGGAAUUCCCAGAGAUGAAAAGCCCAUCUGUACAAUAUUCAACCUGUAGCAAAGAAGAUGUGAUAUUGGAUCCCUUUCUUCAUAUCUCAUUUGGAAAUUGUAAAAUUCAUCUGUAUCGUUGACACUAGAAUUUUCUCAGAGGCCAUGUCUUGUAUGAGUUAGGAAUCCUGUGGGUGAAUCUGCAUGCAAUUUGUAAUAAUUUGGUUAUGACAAUUGGCCAAAUAAAUGGCACAGUAUGAAUUCAAAUGCUGAAAAUGUUCAUCUUUGAGAUUCCUCUCUCAGGUCCCAUUUUUAAUCAUCACUGACUUUAAUUCCUCACCCCAGGGAUUCCAAUUUGCAAACCACUUCCUUGGGGGCAGCAGCCUACCCCACACCCACUCAUCCCAGCUGCUACAAAGAACACUGCAACAGAAUCGACAAAAAGAUUAGUACUAGGCAAAUGAAAAUUAAGUGAGAUCUGGUUUUUAAUUAAAUUUGCUGAGUGAAUCUGAGUCAGAAAUAAAAAUAUAGAUAUUAUAGUUUCAUGGUAUAUUUUAAAUUUACAAGAGACCUUAGAAACAUCUAUGCCAAAUCUAUUUUAUUAUUUUAAAUGAAUUUUAUUGAUACUUUCUGUUUUUCUAUGACAGAAAUUACCAGAAAUAGUCACCCCAUGAGUCCUUCCUAGUAAUGAAGGAAAAAUAGCUAAAUAAAAUCACCUGGCAGAGUGAUUGUAUCUGAAAGCACAGACAACAUUCUGUAUCCAUGGUCCCCUGCCUCUAUCUUGGAACCAAAACAAAUCCAAAAAAAAUUAGAGGCAAAAUCACUUGUCAAAGUCACUCCAAGAGCUGGGAAGAGAAGCCAGACUUUCUAAGUCCCAACCUUGUGCUAUUUCCAGGCUGCUUUGUGGCCCUUGCAUGUAGCUGUUCUUACUAGGCAGGUUGAAAUAUCCCUGCUCUAUGUAUAGGUCAGACCCCAAACAAUUUAAGUUCUUUCAGAUUCCACCUGGAGCUAAGGAAGAAUCCUAAGUCAACACAAGAAAUCCAUCCUUGCUCCCUUGCCAAAACUCUGUUGUUAAUCACUUGGUUCAACCCCCUCCAUCUGAACCAUGGCCUGAAAAAUGAUGCAAGAAUAAGUUUUUUGGCCCUUGAUUAUUCUUUGUUCCAUAAAAAUGCAGAUUUCCCAACACAGAACUAGUUGAGAUGCCUGUUUCUUUGAGUCUCUGUCUCUCUGACUUUGUCUCUCUCUGUCUCUAUGUUUUUGUCCCUGCCUUUAUCUCUCUCUUUGUUUCUCUGUCUUUCUAUCUCUGUCUCUGUCUCUUUCUCUAUCUCUGUAUCUCUCUCUCCCUCCUUCCCUCCUAAUACUGUACCUUCUCAAGUCCUUUCUAGCAUAGACCUUCAUUUUUGCCUUUCACAAUCAGACCCCAACCUAGUUUCCCAGCAUUAAAAUAUAAUACCUGGCCCUAAAGAAUGAAAAAAGAAUAGAAACCAUGAAAAUCUGCCAAGUAAAGCUUGUACUUUUUAAUUCAGCUCUGUAAUAUCAUACCAGAUAAAUUUUUGGAGAUUCUUUUGGAAAGGUUUUUUUUUUUUUUAAAUUAUAUAUAUUUAUCUCUCCCUCUCCCAUUACAGGAAAAGACAAUUUAAAACAUUUAUUUCUUUGGAAAGGUUUAAAAAUAAUAUUUUUUUUAAUCCAUUAAUCAGCACUUUUUUCUUCCUCCCUCCUCCCCCACCAAAAACCUACAUAAGAAAACUUGGGGGAGAAGGUAGGGUUUUGAUGCAGCAAAAAUGCUGUAAUAGGUUUUUAAAAAUUCAGUCUGUGCAAUGAGUAGACACGGGCACUAGGCUCUGCCACUAACUAUCUGUGUGAAUUUGGGGAAGUUAUUCUCUAAGUUUCCGUUUCCUCAGCUAUAAAAUGAGCACCUUAUGACUAUGAUUUUUGAAAUCCCUUCUACCUUUGGGCUUUUCAUUACAAGACUCAGCUUACCAACCAUGAAAUGUUUGUUUAGUUUAGUAAUCAGACAAGGUAAGAAAAGUUCUCUCUGCCCUUCAUAGAGAAGAUAUCUUCUAAGAUUCCAGGAUAAUGUGCCCUUUGCUCUCUAUCACCUCCUGUACAAAUAAAGCCAAAUGACUCUACUCAGACUCCAAACAUCCUGUUUCUCUUGUUGCAGUUGUGCUUUUGAGUUAAGUUGUAAAUAUAAAUUAGAGAAGGUGGCUUUGUACUCCCAUUUCUGUGACCAAAUAGGAUGUUGGAUGUUCUAAAUAAACUCAUCAAAUAGCA